AAUCAACGCUGGCGGCGUGCCUCAGACAUGCAAGUCGAACGAUUAAAGCUCUCUUCGGAGAGUGUAUAGAGUGGCGCACGGGUGAGUAACACGUAAGUAAUCUACCUUCGAGUGGGGAAUAACGUCCGGAAACGGACGCUAAUACCGCAUAAUGCAGCGGCAUCGCAAGAUGACAGUUGUUAAAGAUUUAUCGCUUGAAGAGGAGCUUGCGGCAGAUUAGCUAGUUGGUAAGGUAAUGGCUUACCAAGGCUACGAUCUGUAACCGGUCUAAGAGGACGGUCGGUCACACUGACACUGAAUAACGGGUCAGACUCCUACGGGAGGCAGCAGUCGGGAAUUUUGGGCAAUGGGCGAAAGCCUGACCCAGCAACGCCGCGUGAAGGAUGAAGUAUUUCGGUAUGUAAACUUCGAAAGAAUGGGAAGAAUAAAUGACGGUACCAUUUAUAAGGUCCGGCUAAC
rnacentral:rRNA from 1 species